rnacentral:rRNA from 1 species
CCUACGGGUGGCAGCAGUGGGGAAUAUUGGGCAAUGGGCGCAAGCCUGACCCAGCAACGCCGCGUGAAGGAAGAAGGCUUUCGGGUUGUAAACUUCUUUUCUCAGGGACGAAGCAAGUGACGGUACCGGAGGAAUAAGCCACGGCUAACUACGUGCCAGCAGCCGCGGUAAGACGUAGGGGGCAAGCGUUAUCCGGAUUUACUGGGUGUAAAGGGCGGGGAGGCGGGAAAGCAAGUCAGAGGUGAAAACCAUGGGCUCAACCUGUGGCCUGCAUUUGAAACGGUUUUUCUUGAGGACUGGGGAGGCCGCCGGACUUCCUCGUGUAGCGGUGACCUGCGUAGAUAUUAGGCGGAACCCCAGUGGC